rnacentral:rRNA from 1 species
UACGUAGGUGGCAAGCGUUGUCCGGAUUUAUUGGGCGUAAAGGGCGCGCAGGCGGUCCGUUAAGUCCGAGGUGAAAUCUCCCGGCUCAACUGGGAGGGGUCUUCGGAUACUGGCGGACUUGAGGAGUGCAGAGGUGAGUGGAAUUCUCGGUGUAGUGGUGAAAUGCGUAGAUAUCGAGAGGAACACCAGUGGCGAAGGCGGCUCACUGGGCACCACCUGACGCUGAGGCGCGAAAGCUAGGGGAGCAAACGGG